AGAGUUUGAUCCUCGGCUCAGGAUGAACGCUGGCGGCGUGCGUAACACAUGCAAGUCGAGCGAGAAGCUCAUGACGGACGCUUCGGUUGAAGUCACGAGUGAAUAGCGGCGGACGCGUGAGUAACGCGUAGGCAACCUGCCCUCUGCAGAGGGAUAGCCUCGCGAAACCGGGAUUAAAACCUCAUAAUACCGCAGUGAGACAUCUCGCGGCGGUCAAAGAUUUAUCGGCAAAGGAUGGGCCUGCGUCUGAUUAGUUAGUUGGUGGUGGUAACGGCCUACCAAGGCGACGAUCAGUAGCCGACCUGAGAGGGUGAUCGGCCACAUUGGAACUGAGACACGGUCCAAACUCGUACCGGAGGCAGCAGUGGGGAAUAUUGCACAAUGGGGGAAACCCUGAUGCAGCAACGCCGCGUGAAGUAUGAAGGCCUUUGGGUCGUAAACUUCUGUUCUAAGGGAAGAUAGUGACGGUACCUUAGGAGCAAGUCCCGGCUAACUACGUGCCAGCAGCCGCGGUAAUACGUAGGGGGCAAGCGUUAUCCGGAAUUAUUGGGCGUAAAGAGUACGUAGGUGGUUUUAUAAGCACGGGGUUUAAGGCAAUGGCUUAACCAUUGUUCGCCUUGUGAACUGGAAGACUUGAGUGCAGGAGAGGAAAGCGGAAUUCCUAGUGUAGCGGUGAAAUGCGUAGAUAUUAGGAGGAACUCCAGUGGCGAAGGCGGCUUUCUGGACUGUAACUGACACUGAGGUACGAAAGCGUGGGGAGCAAACGAGGAUUAGAUACCCUGGUAGUCCACGCCGUAAACGAUGAGCACUAGGUGUCGGGGUCGCAAGACUUCGGUGCAGCAGUUACCGCAUUAAGUGCUCGGAUUGGGGAGUACGUUCGCAAGAAUGAAACUCAAAGGAAUUGAGGCGGAGAGCACACAGUAUCGUAGUAUGUGGUUUAAUUCGAAGCAACGCGAUGACCCUUGCCAGGGCUUGACAUUCCUAAGACAGAUCUUUAAACGGAUGUUUUUUCGGACAGAGGAGACAGGUCGUGCAGAGUGGUUGUCAGCUGGUGUCGCGAGAAGGUGUGUGAAGUCCGUCAAAGAGCGCAACCGUCGUCACAAGUUGUCAGCAGGAAGAUGGGCAAUCUCGUGAGAGAGCCGGGGAUUACUCGGAGGAAGGAGGGGACGAGGUCCCAUCAUCAAGCCCAUUAUGGUUUGGGUUACACAAGUGUUACAAGGACCGGCACCGAGAGAACCCGGACCGCGAGGUGGAGCAAAAAUCAAAAGCCGGUCCCAGUUAGGAGUGCAGCAUGCAAGUAGCAUGCACGAAGUAGGAGUUGUUAGUAAUGGCAGAUCAGAAUGAUGCGGUGAACGAGUUCCCGG
rnacentral:rRNA from 1 species